GAGCGAUCUCUUCGGAGAAGAGCGGCGGACGGGUGAGUAACGCNGUGGGUAACCNUGCCCUGNUACACACGGUAUAACAUACCGUAAAGGUAUGCUAAUACGGGAUAACAUGAGAAAGUCGCAUGGCUUUUUUAUCAAAGCUCCGGCGGUACAGGAUGGACCCGCGUCUGAUUAGCUAGUUGGUAAGGUAACGGCUUACCAAGGCGACGAUCAGUAGCCGACCUGAGAGGGUGAUCGGCCACAUUGGAACUGAGACACGGUCCAAACUCCUACGGGAGGCAGCAGUGGGGAAUAUUGCACAAUGGGCGAAAGCCUGAUGCAGCAACGCCGCGUGAGCGAUGAAGGCCUUCGGGUCGUAAAGCUCUGUCCUCAAGGAAGAUAAUGACGGUACUUGAGGAGGAAGCCCCGGCUAACUACGUGCCAGCAGCCGCGGUAAU
rnacentral:rRNA from 1 species